GGGCUUAGUGGGAGAAGGUAUAAAAUACUAAAAGACCAAAGAAAUGCCUGUCCCUGACCGGAGAACAACCUCACACCUUACCCCUCCCAUGUGGUAAAAAAGGUGUGGGAUGAAGACCCCAGACCCAAAAUGGAACAUGACCCUAAGUUGUAAGGAGUGGGACUGUGGGCGUGCAUUGCAGGUAUAUUUGGGCCUGCUAAGAAGGAAGAGGUGGGAA